UCAGGUCGUGGACCAGCACCCCUUGACAGUUGUCAAACUUGAGAUGGCACUGUGAGCUGUUGACAAUUGUGAUGCCAGCCACUACGACAUUUGAAGAACCAUAGAACCUCAAUGCCUGCAUCAGAGUUUAACCCGUGGCAUCCUUUCAAGCUCCUGAUUGUACUGCUGGAAUGUAUCCAAGGAAUGAAGCAUACGAUUUAUUCACGAGCAGAUUUUGUGGGGAAACAAAACGGCCGUUCUCCUUUAUGUAUAUCCUUCCCUGUGGUCCAAGAGAUCACGUGCAAUUAGAGCGCUAGUAUGUCCAGUUUGGCAGCUAAUCCAAGAUCCAUAUGCAUUAUGGAGGAUACCAAGGUGAUGCACAAACCCAGAGUCUAUAUAUUGGCUGCCUUCAUAUUGUGAGACUCACUUGUCAAUAGGACAUUAGGACAUCCUUUUUUUAUUGACCCUGCUAAAAUGUCCUUUUCAUUCAAAAUCGCCAUAUCAAUUGUGAUUAUGCUGAUCGGCCCAAUAUGAGGACUCUGCUAGAGUUUGCUCUUACUAAUAUACGGAAUUACUAACGCUCACAUGCAUCUCGCUGAACCAAAAUAUUUUUUGUUCUGUUUACAGCUCUAAGAAACAAGGAGGGAAGCAAGUAAAAAAAAAGUCAUCUCAGGCAAGCCUAACAGCUCAUUUGCUUUGCAGAAUUUAGUCAGUUUACCCAGAUGGCUAUGAAUGUGCUUUACCCGGCAUCCUCGGCGGUUUUGCCCCCGUGUUCAAUGAUAGACAUGGUUGU